rnacentral:rRNA from 1 species
UACGGAGGGGGCUAGCGUUGUUCGGAAUUACUGGGCGUAAAGCGCGCGUAGGCGGACUGUUAAGUCGGGGGUGAAAUCCCGGGGCUCAACCCCGGAACUGCCUUCGAUACUGGCGGUCUAGAGGUCUGGAGAGGUGAGUGGAAUUCCGAGUGUAGAGGUGAAAUUCGUAGAGAUUCGGAGGAACACCAGUGGCGAAGGCGGCUCACUGGCCAGAUGCUGACGCUGAGGUGCGAAAGAGUGGGGAGCAAACAGG